UUAUUUGGAUUUAAUUGAAAUUGAUUUUGGGAAAAAGGAGUGAAAAUUUGGAUUCUGGGGGUAUUUUUGAAAAGAAAAUCGGAAACCGGUGGUCAAAACUCAAUUUAAAAAAUUGCGCCCCGUCAGCGCCACGUCAGCAGCCCUGGCCAACCAGGACCUGCCGCGUGGCAAGACCACGUUGACCCGGGAACGGGCCACGCGGGCGAUUCGCGUGCGC
rnacentral:lncRNA from 1 species